UAUUGUCCAGACCUAACCCUUCUUUUGCACGUAUGCGUUAAGAGUUUUGUGAGUAAUGACCGAUGAAUCGUUCUCUCUCCCUCCCUAGCCGCAAAAAAACCUCAAACCUCAAAUUCUUCAUUUUCCACCGCUGCUUAAUCUCUGAACUUCAAUUUCUUCAUCUGUAGAAGAUUGGAUUUUUCUGAUAUCCAUGUCUAACUUAAAUCUGUAGAAGAGAGUUGAAGUUUUUCUUAGGGUUUUCUUUUCUACUUUCAGCUUAAGGUUUCUUAAAUCAAUUUAAUUAAAUUUAAGUUGAUUUUUAUUGUGUUGAUAAUUUUAGGUCUUCGAUUUGAUUCCAACCGAAUUAAAUCUUUCUCUAUUGAAUUAAUUUAACAUCCCACCUACAUUUCAGAGAUAAGAAGAAUGGCAGCGCCACUGAUUGAGCUGUGAAUUCAUGAGCCGAUGAAGAUGGGAGGUUUAUAGUAGAUUUCUUUCUGUCUCAUAUGUUGCUGCAACUGAAACGGAACGAAAGAUGGUUGUGCUUGAACUGUAAAUGUAAAAUUCAGGGGUUAGGUUGAAGAAUAUGUGGUGCUUAGAUGGGUUCGGUUGAAAAUACAGUGAAUAUGUGGUGAUUUAAAACAUUUUCUUUCUUUUAAUUCAUUCACGUCUGACCCACUUCCAAAUCUAAUGUAGUAGAAAUUACAUAGACACAAAAAUGGAGGACGACAUCAUUUCUUCUUCUUCUCUUCGAACUAUGAUUCACUGUCAUUCUUAAAUUUUUAACAAGGGUUUUAUUUCCUCCAUUUUUAUAUUUUGAUGUAUGGAAUAAUAAUUAGAAGAUGAAUAUCGGAACUAAAUUAGCGUCAGAAAUAUCAUUAUUUUGUUUCCUCCUACAAUUGAAACCCUGACUUCAAACCUACAAAUCCUUGAUUCAAGGUUUCUGAAAUUCAAGUUCAAGUUGAUUCAAGCUUUGUUAGUACCUUCGGGAUCUAAACUGUUAAUGCCAAUUCCAUCAAAGGGGAUUUACUAAUGGGGAUUUGUAUCAACAAAUCUGCAGUGUUCAAAGAAACUACCCAGUGACUGAUACAAACCCACCUUUCGAAAAGCGAGUAAGAAAUUUCAAUACUCUCGGUUAUUUCGUUAAUCACCACCAUCAAUGCUAUUUCUGCAUGGUGACCCAAUGAGUAUUAAUUUUAAUUUUUUUCUUAUUUUUUGUGGAAUUUGAUUGAUUAGUCAUUGUAGGGUUGAUUCAAUUUCUGAUUUUUAGAUUGAAUAUGUGUUGGAAUUAUUGGGGUUUAAUUAGAAGCUAAGAAUCAGUAUGCUUGGAUUUGGCUGAUAGAAUUCCUAAAGCUCUAGAGGAGGUAAAAGGUAAGAAGAUAUGUGAUCAAUUGGUUUUCUUGAGUUUGAAAUAUUAUGUAUAUAAUCCCUGCAGCUAUGGUAACAUCAGAGAUUGGGGACAGGUUUAUCUACAUUGAUGAAUUUAUUAUGGUAUCUAACUUCAUCAAUUGAUCUCUUUCGAUAUCGAUAUUUUCCUGUAACUCAUAGAUGAUCGACCAUAUGACGGGUUACAAUUUCUGAGUUUGCAUUACUAUCCAUAAGUUCAAUUACAUUCUGUUAUGAAGUCUCGCGUGAUGCUAAUAUUGUUUGUUUGCAGUUAUGGAUCUUUGGGAUUUAUUUUUCUCUCACGUUGAGAUUUCCUUGGUGUUUGCGGAAAACACAAUCAAACAAAUAUCUCCGAGGUGCACAUAUCUUAGCCAAGGGUAACUUACUCAAUGCAUAACUGCUUAAAAUGCCUUCAUUUACAAGUUAUAAGUACGGUUAAUAUACAGUGAUGGCUAAAGAUUAUGGCUUUACUUUUUUCUUGGUGCGAAGACCCAAAUACUUUUGCUGCCAAAGACAUAAACCUAUUUGUAGUUAGAACCAGCAGACCUUAACUUUUACAAGAUUGUAAAUAUGCAGAGUGACUGCCUACCAGAUUUGUCCUCCCAACAGAUAAAUCAACGGCUUUGGUUAAUCCUUUCUAAUAUUUGUGAUAAAAUUGUUAUUCAUGUAUGAAUUGUUAAGGGCCUCCGUAGCCAGGCCUCAACUUCCUUUGCAUUAAAUUAUCGCAAAUGUUUUUCUUUUCUGUUUUGUUUGUCAGAGACACAAAAUGUAGAGUUUUACCGUUCUUUUUUUAGUUAUUACGUUCAGGUGAAUUACUUACAUAAGCAUGGACUUGCCCAUACUGAGUUAAAGUUAGAAAAUGUGCAUAUAGGUACAGUGGAUAGGCAUAAGUAAGUUGUUAUUAGCCACAAGUGCAUCCUAUUUUAUCCCUGCAAUCCUAGAAAAAUGCCAUAUUUAACAUGACCUUUUUUUGUCAUUAUACUCUCAUCAUUUGAUUUGUUAAAUAGCUGGUAUUCCAAGUGAUGCAGCGAGAAAGUGGAUACGGUAUAAGUAGUAUGAUAUUGUUUAUGUGCCAUAUUUGGGGUUUCUAUUGUUGGUAAACUAGGAUGCAGUUAAUGGUCAAACCUUUAAACUGGGGCUACCAUGGUGACUGCUUCUUAAACCCUGGACCAACAACGAAAACGUUAAUAUGAGCCACCGAGCAAGCAAGACUUUCUUAUAUAAAUUGAAGUACAUGUUCAUCUAGGAUACGUUUUCGAGUUCUUAUGCCAUUUUUAAUCACCAGCUGAAAUAGUUGUGUCGUUUCUCGGGAUUCAUGGGGAGGGUAAAAGUUUAUGUACCUAUGUAUUCGGCUAUGUACUUUAUUUAGCUACAAGAAAGAGAAAAGAGAAUUAACCAUGAAAACUAGAAGUAAGCUUGAUUGAGUCAUCUGCAUAGUCGGCCCAAAGUCAGAACUUCUUUCAUAACAACUUCUUUCAUAAUAUGCCCUAGAUCCUUUUGCUUACAGUAAGUUAAAACUUCCAAUUACAGCAUGGGCCAUAAAGUCUACCAUAAUAUUACUUUAAAUCAGUAUAGCAUUUUCGGCACUUAAUAAUUACUACAUUUCAUCAUGCUUCAUAUCAUUUGUGCACCUGUAUCUUUUCUUUCGUUUUUCCUUAAUAUAGUUCUGCAGGGAUCGGUCCUGAUGGUCAGAAAUUUCCUUUUAUUCCCAAGGGCGUCUAGAAAUUGAAUUUUACUGGAGGCAGGGGAGUAACAACUGCUUGAGUUAAGGAUUAGAAUUGGUGGGGUCUAAUGAUGGAACAUGGGACUACCAAAAGAGUGCACGACGUAUAUUGUUGCAAAUAGGUUCCGAGGAGAGUUGGUAAAGACAAUAACAAAGACGGAAUGAUCCCCCUCAUGUAAUUAACGGAUAUUGCAGAUACUCACUUUGCUUCGAUACAUCCAUAUGUCCGUGCCACUUCAAUAUGGUAUUUGCUUAUAUCAAAUUUCUGAAUCAUCUUACACCUUUGUCUAAUGAUGGAAUCCUUUUGAAGUUUUUCAAUAGUUGGGUUUUCAAGGCCUCUUCCUUAAUUUUUAGGAGGUCAUUUGGAACUUGGCAUGUUUAUAUUUUUUAAUUGAUCAUUUAUAGGAUAGAUUGCUGCUCCUUUGAAUUGUAUUUCUUUUCCUUUGAGAAGCCGAGUAUCAACCACGUCAAAAGUUGGGAGCCAUACCAAACUCAUAUCUUUCUUCCAAGGAACUAUCUUUAAGCGAGAUCAGUGGCAAAACGGGAGACUCUAUUAUGUGCCGCAAGUAGAAGAGGAGGAGAUGGAGGCCUUGGCUCUCUUCUAUUAGUUCAUCACCAGCGUAGCAGAUUGUAUUUCAAAACCAUACUCAUCUUCAAUAUAUUUGCAUCAGCUACUACAGAAAAAUAUAGGGUAUUGUAAUGGAUUUAUACAACAGGGAUAUGGCUGCUGCUGACGAUGAAGCAGUACGCCGCCAUUGAUGAUUUCGGCUAUGUUGUUUUUCUUUUGAGAUUUACGAUUCAGUUAUGUGUGCAUCUUUGGCCCAAAAUUUCAUAACUGAAUCUUUGGCCCAAAAUUGUUUCGGUAAUAGUGUUACUGAUGUAAAGUAUGCUUUUUUGGUUCUUCAAGGGGUGCAGUAGAGCAGAGAUGAGUCUAGACAAGGAAAACUCAAUACAUUUGUCCUUCAGAAAUCCAUUAAUCUUACUUUCAAGAUGUUAAGGAAUUGUUUAA